rnacentral:rRNA from 1 species
AUUGAACGCUGGCGGCAUGCUUUACACAUGCAAGUCGAACGGUAACAGGGUGCUUGCACCGCUGACGAGUGGCGAACGGGUGAGUAAUGCGUCGGAACGUGCCGAGUAGUGGGGGAUAACGCAUCGAAAGGUGUGCUAAUACCGCAUACGUACUGAGGUAGAAAGUGGGGGACCUUCGGGCCUCACGCUAUUCGAGCGGCCGACGUCUGAUUAGCUAGUUGGUGGGGUAAAGGCUCACCAAGGCGACGAUCAGUAGCGGGUCUGAGAGGAUGAUCCGCCACACUGGGACUGAGACACGGCCCAGACUCCUACGGGAGGCAGCAGUGGGAAUUUUGGACAAUGGGCGCAAGCCUGAUCCAGCCGUGCCGCGUGUCUGAAGAAGGCCUUCGGGUUGUAAAGGACCUUUGUCCGGGAGCAAAUGCCUGGUGUUAAUAGCACUGGGAGCUGAGAGUACCGGAAGAAUAAGCACCGGCUAACUACGUGCCAGCCGCCGCUGUAAAAC